GGACUGGAAGGAAGGAGCCAGCAGACAGGGAGGAGAGGAGGGGAAGUGGGUAGUGAAGGGGAGAGAGAAUAGCCAGGGGUGGUGGGCAGAAGGAGAGGAAAUGGAACCCUAGAGGCCUGGGCAGGAGGCCUCUUGCUGUUGAGCUGCGGCCGGCUGUAUUUUGAGACCUUAACCUUCACCUUCUCAGCUGUGUUGGAUGCGGCCUCCAGAGGCCCAGGAGAGAACAGCUCAACUCCAAAUAGGCGCAUUUCCAUCGCCUCCAUCGCCGCUGUAGCUGGUGGCUGUCAGAUUGGACAGCACGGUAGAGGCGGGUCAGGAAAUGCAAGGAGAGCACUUUUGGAAGCGUCUGGAUCCUGGGCCCUCGGGGAGGGCAGGGCCUGGGUCCUGAUGUGAGGAGCCUGGAGCCUGUCCGUGGCCGAGAGGGCCUCCUUCCUCCUUCCUGGCCGACACGUCACCUGCUCCGUCCAGUCCACGAGAAGCAGCUGUGGCCCAAGCCCAUGACCUGCCUUUCUUCCCCAGCGUCACCAUCUGUGGCAGCCUGGGAUACGCAUGAGCUCCUCAGGAGGGCGGAGCUCCGUGGAACACACAUCUGGAUGACAGGAGGGAGCCAGGAGCUGUGAGAAGACGGGGGAGCUGCCGCCGCAAGAAUGCAAGACCCACGGGCUCUACGAUGCGGGGGAGCAGCGGGCAUCUGAGGAAGGGGCGUCAGGGGCACAUGGCCAGCCCUCUUCACCCCACAGUCUGCCCCAGGCCAGCCCCACUAGGAGUGACCCAUUUUCUCCUAGCAGGAUUCCUUGCAUGGGGUGGCCUGGACCCAAAACACCCGCUCUGAGGAUUCCCUGUUAACCACAGAGAAGGUUGACUCAAGUUUCUUUAUUUGGCCAUGAAACUGUGGGGCAUCUCACGGUGCUUCUUGGGUCCACUGGAGAGCCCUGGAAGCUCAGAAGAGGCAAGAGGGGCCUACUUCUCCCUUGUUUGGGCUUUGUUUGCUAAAUACCAAUAUUAGAUUAGGCAACUCUGCAAACAAAACCAAGGCCUGGCCAGCUGCCCAGGGUGUUUAAAGUCCAAGACAUGAAGGCAGGACGUGUGCCCGUGGACUUGCACACGCAAGCAGGCCGAGGGGAGAGCAGCCCGGCAGAGACCUUGGUGGUCCAGGGCUGAGCAAAGGCUUCCCCCACCGGUCCAUCCCAGUGCGCUCAGCACAGGAGUUAGCGGCCACACACUUCAACCAUUGUCUUAUUUUAGAAAAUGACAUCUGCUGGGCGCGGUGACUCACGCCUGUAAUCCCAGCAUUUUGAGAGGGCAAGGUCAGGAGUGAUCACUUUGGGUGGACCACGAGGUCAGGAGUUCAAGAUCAGCCUGGCCAACAUGGUGAAACUCCGUCUCUACUCAAAAUACAAAAAUUAGCCAGGCGUGGUGGCUCACACUUAUAAUCCCAGCUACCUGGGAGGCUGAGGCAGGAGAAUGGCUUGAACCUGGGAGGCGGAGGUUGUAGUGAGCCGAGACUGCUCCACUGGACUGCAGCCUGGGUGACAGAGCGAGACUCCGUCUCAAAAAAAAAAAAAAAGAAGAUGACAUCCAUGAUGUUAAUAAAAGCGGAGGCUUGUCAAGUGAAGCGGUGGGAGUGGAGAAGGAGCAAAGAAAUCUGUUAACUGGUUGGGAUCGGUGAGUUGUAAGCAGCCGCAUAAAGAACAUUUCUGUUUUCUUGGA
rnacentral:lncRNA from 10 species